UUAUCCAUCUGCGACAUUCUUGUUAUCUCUUCCCAUUUUUCAGCUUCCGGUAGUUCCUUUAACUGAACACCUGAUUUUACCAAAAAUUUCUCCUUCUCAAAUUCACCAACAAUCCACAAAGCCAUGUCGCGAACCAUAUCGUGCAUCCUUACACGAUCACUAAAACGUGCUUUCUCCAAUAAGCAUGCCUCAAUAAGAGAACCUAUAAUGAAACGUCCCUGGUUUCUUGCAGUGCUUAAAUCAGUAUGCUCGUCCAUAAAUCCUUCCCUGAUCCAACAAUGUAUUAGUUCAUCUAUUUGGAUUGGAUGAUCUUCUGGAUAUAAAGAACAACACAAGAAACAAGAUUUGACUCUUUCACUCGUUAAACUGUCAUAACUGAAUUUUAACUUGGGAUACAUCUCUUUCCCUACCCCUGGGAACACAGAAGCAGCUGAUUGCCUUAAAACUUCAAUAGCAUAUUCCCAUCCUGGAGGGGUCUUCUUGGAUGCCAUGGCUCGCCCAAUUGUAAUGAGAGCGAGAGGUAGUCCUGCACACUCUUCAACCACCGCUUUAGCUAACUUGCGAAUAUCUGGAUGCAUUUGAAGGGUUUCUGACCCAAACUUCUCCUCGAACAGCUUCAAAGCUUUUCCUGGUGGUAAACAUUCCACUUUGAUAUUAUUAGCCAUGUUCGGAUGCAUUUGACAGCACACGUCACGACUACGAGUUGUGAAAAUGACUUUAGAGCCAUUUUGUUGUGUUGGAAGAGGUACCCCAGCUCCUGUGAGAUCAAAUCGUUCCCAUAAAUCAUCCAACAACAAUGCUGUUGGAUUUAGUGCAACAAGCAGCAAGGUUCAGCAAUGAAACUUGCUCAGCAAGAAUCAUGACUUGCAGGAGAAACAAAACAGAAAUUUAAAGCAAAGCUAAAAAGAGAGCAUAUGGAUGAAAACUUGGAUUGAAUUCAUUCAAAAAAACUGAAAAUGGCAUGAAGCCAAUACAUAAAACAAGCUUACAACUUGACAAAACAGUAGGUUAACCUAAUCACAACCUACUACCACUAAGUAACAUACCUACUACCACUAAUUAACUUGUACAAAUUAACAAAGCUGAUUUAUCAGCUCAAUCACCAUCAAUUUUACAUCAAACAUAAACCUAACAUAGUUGAAAUACAACUAAGUUACAUUACAUCAACUUAAAAUACAAAAGAAAAACAAAAACAUGCUUGCUAGCUUGAUGAACUAGCAGCUUCUGCAUGUGAUGGCCUCGACUGUUUUGGUUGCUGCAUGUUGACCAUGCUUCAACACUCCUCCUUGGUUAGCAUGUUGCAAACUCUCAUCUUAGCUCUCAAAUGUUGAAACUUUGAAACACUGAGUGCCUUUGUCAAAAUAUCAGUUGUUUGCUCUUCAGAACUGCAAUGAACCAAUUUAAUAACAUGAGCUUGCUCCAUUUCUCGAACAGCAUGGAGCUUAAUAUUGAAAUGCUUGGUCCUCCCAUGAAAAACAGGAUUCUUUGCAAUUGCAACAGCAGAUUGGUUAUCACACAUUAUCUCUGUUGCUUCAUUUUGCUCAUGGUUGAUGUCUGCUAAAAUUUUUCUAAGCCAUAUGGGUUGAUUGACUGCUGCAGCAGCAGCCACAUAUUCUGCCUCUGCAGUCGACUGAGCCACAACUUCUUGCUUCUUUGAGCUCCAGCAGAUCAUAGCAGAGCCUAGGUUGAAUGCAUAACCUGAAGUGCUUUUCAUGUCAUUUAAUGAACCAGCCUAAUCACUGUCACAAUAACCAACCAGCUUCAAAUUCGCUGCCUUGGUGUACAACAUUCCAUAGGACAAGGUUCCUUUGAUGUAUCUUAGGACUCUUUUUGCAGCUCUAAAGUGACUCUCAUUUGAACAAUGCAUGAACCUCGAGAGUAAACUCACAGCAUACAUUAUGUCAGGUCUAGUAGCAGUCAAAUAUAGCAAACAUCCAACUAGACUUCGAUAGGUUGUUUCACAAACCUUUUCAUACUUAUCUUGGCUCGAGAGCUUUUCUCCAACAGCAAGUAGUGUGCUGGUUGCUUUGCAUUUCUCCAUUGAGAAUUUGUUGAGAACCUUCAUAGCAAAUGUCUUUUGACUUAGCCAAAUUCCAGUUUCAGCUUGAGUUACUUCCAAGCCUAAGAAAUAAGACAUCAUUCUCAAGUCAGACAUCUCAAAGUGCUGUUGCAUUUUGGCUUUAAAGCUGAUUAUCAUCUCUCGAUCUCCUCCUGUCACCAAUAAGUCAUCGACAUAUAUUGACACAAUGAGCUGAAUUUCAACACUGGUCGAUUUAACAUAGAGAGUUGGCUCACUGAGACUCCUUUCGAAUCCCAUACUAAUCAAAUAACCAUCUAUUCUGCUAUAUCAGGCCCUUGGUGCCUGUUUCAAGCCAUACAAGGCUUUGUUGAGCUUGUUCACCAUCUCUUCCUUGCCAGACACCUUGAAACCUUGAGGUUGCUCCACAUAAAUUGUGCUGCUAAGGCAACUAGCAGUCUUAUGGUAUCGAGCCUAGCCACAGGUGCAAAAGUCUCCUGGUAAUCUGAUCCAUAUCUUUGACUGAAGCCUUUGACAACCAAUCUAGCCUUUAACUUAUUCAAGCUUCCAUCAGCAUUGUUUUUAACUCGAUAGACCUAUUUGACACCAAUAAUCUUCCUGUUUGCUGGUCUUUCAACUAGACUCCAAGUUUCAUUCUUCUCAAUCAUUCUGAUUUCAUCAGUCAUAGCUUGCUUCCAGCCUCGAUGACCUUCAGCUUCUUCAAAACAACUUGGUUCAGCAAUGGCCACUUGUGUCAUUUCAUAAACAUCAGCCAUUGAUCGAGUCCCUCUGACUGGUUCAUCAUCUACAUCCAUUUCAGAUGUGUUUUGAUCAUUCUCAGCUUGAUCCAAUGCAAGAUCUUCAGUUGCUGCCUCUGGUUCAUCUUUCUCCCAGUUCCAGCAUCCUUUUUCAUUGAACAUGACAUCUCUGCUUACAAGUAUCUCUUUUGUGGAUGGAUCAAGGAUUCUAUAGCCCUUUUUAACUGUGCUAUAGCCAAUUACAAUUCCUGCUUGAGCCCUUUUAUCCAGCUUGCUCCUCUUUACAACUGGAACUUGUGCAUUGAUGUAACUCGUCCAAGUUUAGCUUAAACAUCCAGGCUGAGAUUGAGAUGUUACACAUCACUUGACAAAAGAACAUGAAAUCGAGAUAUUUAUUGGACAAUUGUCGAGGACUUUCGACAACUUGGAUCAAGGAAUGCUCUAUUGGUCAACUGUACCGUUACCCAUCCAUAACUCCCUCGAGGAGACUUACACCCAAUAGUUCAUAAUACAGUUGAAUGUAAAUGAAAAGGUAAUUGAGUAAAACAAAGAACCAAGCUGCACGUAAUUUAGGGACAGGAAAAAUAAAACUUACAAUGAGGUAUGUUAUAAUACAAUCAGGGCUUUCAACCUUAAUUAAUAUCCAGCAUUUCGUAGAUUACCGAGGUUUAAAAGAGGGUAGAAAAGUAAUUCGAGUGGAUUCAUCCUCCCAUUCUACAUCUUUCCACCAUCCCUCCUUUCCUUCAAUGACGAGCCUUUGUCCUUUUGCACUAUUGAAGUUCAAAGGGAGCUUCUUCAAUAUUUGGCAUUCUCGAAUUCUGAUUUCCUCCAGUUGCGGGAAAGGCAGAGCAUGGCGGUAUAUUGUCUUCAUUUUUGGCAAAUAAUAUAGAUAAAAAGCCUCAAGCUUAGAAAAUAAGUUUGUAUUUGCCUUGGACUUAGUGACUUCACCAAGUUUUUCUUCACUAAUAAUUUCUUCUAAACUUUUGCAAUUAAUUAUCAUUAAUACUUCCAAUUGUGGAGCAAAAACUAGCCAACUUGCAUCCCUCAAUUGAUUGCAGUCGAACAGAAAUACAAACCCAAGGCUCUGGAAGCAUCCUGCACCUUCAAUUAUGUUACAUUCGAUCUUCACUUCUUGUAGAUCCUCAAGUGAUAAACUCUGCAGAUGCUGCACAUUUGUUAAAUCCAAAAUAUUCAAUGAUCUUGAAUCUCUGAAAUGUUUAAGGGUUGCACGUUCAAUGGCACGGCUAAAGAACUUGUUGAACCCCAAAGUUUUUUCCAACUCUGAAGCGCUUCUAAAAGUAAGAGUCAACACAUUCAAAUAUUUUAAAUGCUCCAUUUCCUCCAAAACCAAUGAACAUCCAUAGCCACAUCCCUCCAUUUUCAGUACUUGCAGCUUAGAGAAACUAGAUAUAAGUUGUUGUGGGAUCAUUUCUAGAUGGACUGUCACCUCCAGAUUCAAAUAUUUCAGCUUUUUUAGGGCCUUCAAUUCGGCUGGCAGCUUUCUUAUUCCUGAAAAUGACAGAUUGAGAUGUUCUAGUGAAACCAACUUUGCAACUCCAACUGACAAUUCUUCCAAAUGCUAUUGUAGGACAGGUCUAGAACCCUUAGCAUCGGCAUGAAAUUAAAGAAAUCAUUGAUGAUCACCCUCAAACGAUUCCUCCCAAGAAAUAAAGUUUGGAGAUUGGGGCAUCCUAAUAUCUCAGUCAGAUUUUCAAUUUGAUUAUCCAUCAACGACAUUCUUAUAACCUCUUCCCACUUAUCAGCUUCCGGUAGUUCCUUUAACUGAACACCUGAUUUUACAAAAAAUUUCUUAGAUUCACCACCAAUCCACAAAGCCAUGUCACGAAUCACAUCGUGCAUCUUUACACCAUUAUUAUUAGGCCCUUUCUCCAAUAAGCAUGCCUCAAGAAGCGAACCUACAAUGAAAUGUCCCUGGUUUCUGGCAUUGCUCAAAUUGGUAUGUUUGUCCAAAAUUCCAUCCCCGAUCCAACAAUGUAUUAGUUCAUCUUUUUGGAUGAGUUCAUCUUCUGGAUAUAAAGAACAAUACAAGAAACAAGAUUUCACUUUUUCAUCAGCUAAACAGUCAUAACUGAAUUUUAACUUGGGAUACAUCUCUUUCCCUACCCUUGGGAAAGCAGAAGCUGCUGAUUGCCUUAAAGCUUCAAUAGCAUAUUCCCAUUCUCGAGGGGUCUUCUUGGAUGCCAUCGCUCGCCCAAUUGUAAUGAGAGCGAGAGGUAGUCUUGCACACUCUUCAACCACCGCUUCAGCUAACUUGCAAAUAUCUGGAUGCAUUUGAAGGGUUUCUGAUCCAACCUUCUCCUUGAACAGUUUGAAAGCUUCUCCUGGUGGUAAACAUUCCACUCUGAUAUUAUUAUCCAUGUUCGGUUGCAUUUGACAGCACACGUCAAGACGACGAGUUGUGAAAAUGACUUUAGAGCCAUUUUCUUGUGUUGGAAGAGGUACCCCAGCUCUUGUGAGAUCAAACCAUUCCCAUAUAUCAUCCAACAACAAUGCAAACUUCUUUUUAUAUAAUACCUUGAAGAUGUCUUCAGCUUUC
rnacentral:lncRNA from 1 species